UUCUGAUGCAACUGUGGACUGCGUAGCGUCGGGACGCUGCGGUCGAUGUCAAGGACAAGGCCGAUAGCAUUUAGAAAGAGCGUUCCACGUCGACAUUGUUGCAAUCAAAGCGGUGUCGGCGAAACUUUUUUUUUCCUGGCGCGUCGCCAAAAAUCGCAUCAUCGGCUUCCGACUUCGUAAUCGAGCCGCGAGAUUUCGCGAAACGCCAGGUCUUCUCGCUGUUCAAACGUUCUCAUGUGAUACGAAGUACCGGUGCUGACGUAACCUUGCGGGGCGACCCACUGUGGCAGAGUCAAUGUCAAGGCCAAGCCUAGCGACACGUAUAGGUUUCGUAACACAACGAAAUCAGUCUCGUCUCUACGGAAAACUUAAUCGAAUAGGUUAUGUGAACAAUCGAAUGUAUAUUCGUCUUUGUACCAUCAGUGCCUAAGUUACUGGGCAAGUGCCGGUGUCACCACGUUGGCGUCGCGUUUGCGGCUAAAAGAGACAAAUGCCGGGGACAGAUGAAAAUAUCCGUGCGACUCUCUCGCAACGAAUACUCUUUUACCAAUUUUGUUUAAAACCGGUGCAUCCGGUUUGAUCAUCGUUCCGCCUUUAGCCGCAUUCGGCCAUUAGGAACGUAAUUCGGAUGGGCAAGACCGUGGAUCUCUGUACAAAAUCGAGUCUGCAGCUACAAGAACCAACUAAGCUAAAUAGGAAGCUCUUCUUUCAACAACGUCGACGGACUGAAGAAACAAUACUCCAAUCUUCGCAGUAUUCGAACAACGUCGCAAGUGUCUAAAGACCAUAAAUGGCUAAUGGCGUAGCGAAUGGUUAAUUAAUCGAGCAACGUCGUCGCAAACGCCGAAACGGAAUCAGCCGAUGAAGAAGCACACGGUGAAGCAACUGGCGCGCAACGUGACACGGGUUUCGGUGUCCUGCAUUGCCCGAAACACCGUGGGAACGGGCGGAGGAAAAGGGAGAAAAAUCGGCGAACGGUGGACAGAUAUAACGAGACAAAGGCUGACGUGCGGUAAUUGAGAAUCGUUAACACGUCCUCGAGAGAGAGAGAGAGAUCGAGCGGCUGGAUUUCGCUUGGUCCUCUCUCGCGCGCGCACACACCGCCGGGUGCUACCAUCAGCUCGGCUCCCUCCACUCGUCCCGGCUUCCUGGCCACGGUACCGGUGACCUUCAACCGUUCAGGAGUGGAUGGACCUUGUUGGCCAGCGGGCCGAGGUAUAAGGUCAAGGUUACCGUUGACGGUGUGCACGGGAUAUGCGACCUCCGGAUGCAUCGAGCGAGAUGCGCGCGCACCAGGCGCAUGUGCACCAACCGACCGGCUUCACGGUACGUCGCAGCACGUCGCGCGAGCCAUUGCCAAGGUCUUCGCUGGUCACGGGCAAACCGUUAUAAGUAGCGAUGGGCUCGAUCCAAAAGGCGCAAUGAUUAAUGCUCUAGGUGCAAUGGGUCAUCAAACGAGCUGGAUCUUGGCGGGCAACCGCGGGAAACGAGCGCGCGUUCUGCGCCGUUCGAAUAAUGCGGAUUUUCUUGCGUUUCCGGCGCGGAUCGCUUAGCUAUCCGGCCGAGACGAAGUCGAGAUCGAGCAGCGUGUUUUACUUUAGUCGUCUGGCGCUUUGGUUCGUUAGCUAGCAGUCUAUGGAUGUAGUCGGUUUUAAACGUUGCUAUGCGUAUUUUGUAAAUUAAUUUACGUUAUUCGGUGUAUGCGCCGUUAAUUUCGAGCGGACGAAAGUGGGUGACAGAUGCUCUCAAGUUUUCAUAGAGGUUUUUUAUUCUUUUCAAAAAAUCAUUUCGAUCAAUUAUUUUGUUGUCUAUCUUUAUUGCAAUGGCUUAAAUGACAGAAGCAUAAUGCAAGAAUAAUAUUAGAAAUAUGGUGUUAUAUUCUUGUUAAAUUUGUAUUCGUGUACAGGGUAUCUUAGAACAGGUGGUACGAGUAAACAGAAACGAAUAAUCAAAUAAUUAUUUAAUUUGUAUUAGAUGAGGCGUCUGAUCAUGACCCACUGAAUCUACUUCUUUUUAUAUAGAUACAGGACUGCGAGCUUGACGAAUUAAUUAGUACCGAGAAUCAUUACUACUUGGAAUUGAUUCACUUUUAUACUAACUUUGAGAUCCUGUAUUUGUUCAAUGAAGUGGGAUAUACAAGAAUUUGUUUAACGACACAGAGAAUAUACAAGAAUUUGUUUAACAAUACAAGAUCUGUUGUCCUUUGGGAUACUUCUCACUUCAUGACCAGCUUUACUAGGAUUAAUUUCGUCAGCAAAAAAAUUCAUUCGAUUCGGUUGAAAUAGAUCAUCGACGGCAAAAGUGAGAAAUAAAAUAUUCUGUUUCGUCCAGUCAAAAUUAUAAAUUCGUAAUACCGAAUACCGCGAGUUCAGCACUUCGUAGUUUGUUAACAAGCGUUUACCUGUCUAUUAAUUAUUGGUCACCGUACGAUAAUGUUUUCAUCGAUACGACACAGGUCUUCUCGUAAAAGGAACAAGCAACGAAAAGUGCACACAGAUAUCCGAGUUUCGUGGUUUGCGCUGCGAAUGCAAUCUCGUAUCAGCGGAGCGUCUGUUUUUUACGAGUUUCCCCGUGAACCGGGAUCUACCCCGGCACGUGGAUCGUAUUAGCGUCGAGAAUACUGCGAUUUUUUUUUCUGAUGUAACCCAGUUUCAUCCUAGCUGCAGGACGCAUUUUCCAAUGUAGUCGCAACUCGGGACCCGAGACCGAGGAACUUGCGCAAAUCUGCCGCUAGUAGGAUACAGCAUGCAUGCUCCGCGUUCUUCCGUUUCGCGAGAUAUGCAUUGGAAGCGAGGAGACUUUAGACUCGAGGAUGCAAAUAUUCCUUUAUCGUUGGCCAAGCAACGUCAAAUUACUUGCGAAGUUCCUUCCGUCUACACCGAAACAAUUUUCUCAAACGGAGACGUUGCGUUCGAACAUGAUUCGAAGAGAAAUUACUUAGCUUCUAAUCAGGAUAAAAUCAACUAGAUAAUUUCUUCCAUUUUUCUAAUGUCUUCGCGCAGUUUCGAUCUAAGUCAAAUUUGAUGUUAUUUUGUAUGCGAAAUAUGUCUAUUUUUAUGGAAUAUUGUUCUAUCUACGAUUCGAAGAGCGUCCCGAAUACGGCAGAAACGAGACAACGAACUUGUUUUGUUGCACAGUUGUUACAUAACGAUCAGUAAUAUGUUGCAAAUGAGAAAAUGAAUGACCAUUUAUGUUAAAACUA